rnacentral:rRNA from 1 species
UACAGAGGGUGCGAGCGUUGUCCGGAAUCACUGGGCGUAAAGGGCGCGUAGGCGGCGCGGUAAGCGUGCGGUGAAAGCCCGGGGCUCAACCCCGGGUCGGCCGUGCGGACGUGCCGGGCUGGAGCACUGUAGAGGCAGGUGGAAUUCCGGGUGUAGCGGUGGAAUGCGUAGAGAUCAGGAAGAACACCCAUGGCGAAGGCAGCUCUCGUGGGCCGGUACUGACGCUGAGACGCGAAAGCGUGGGGAGCGAACAGG